UACGUAGGGGGCAAGCGUUGUCCGGAAUCAUUGGGCGUAAAGAGCGUGUAGGCGGCUCGGUAAGUCCGCUCUGAAAGCCCGGGGCUCAACCCCGGGAGGCGGGCGGAUACUGUCGGGCUAGAGUCCGGAAGAGGCGAGUGGAAUUCCUGGUGUAGCGGUGAAAUGCGCAGAUAUCAGGAGGAACACCAGUGGCGAAGGCAGCUCGCUGGGACGGUACUGACGCUGAGACGCGAAAGCGUGGGGAGCAAACAGG
rnacentral:rRNA from 1 species